UACGUAGGCAGCAAGCGUUGUUCGGAGUUACUGGGCGUAAAGGGUGCGUAGGCGGCCCUGUAAGUAUGGUGUGAAAUCUCCCGGCUUAACUGGGAGGGUGCGCUAUAGACUGCGGGGCUCGAGUGUGGGAGAGGAGAGUGGAAUUCCCAGUGUAGAGGUGAAAUUCGUAGAUAUUGGGAAGAACACCGGUGGCGAAGGCGGCUCUCUGGACCGACACUGACGCUGAGGCGCGAAAGCGUGGGGAGCAAACAGG
rnacentral:rRNA from 1 species